AGUCGUAACAAGGUUUCUGUAGGUGAACCUGCAGAAGGAUCAUUAGUGAAAGUUUCGGGCCUGCCAUACGGACGCAAACACGUCUCUGGCGCCCAUCACUAUAUCCAUACCAACCCCUGUGCACUGUGAUGACGAAUGUCAUCGAACAAAAAAAACUCGUAUGGUUGAAUGUACGUGAAAUUGUAGGUAUAGCCUACGAACUAUACACAACUUUCGACAACGGAUCUCUUGGUUCUCCCAUCGAUGAAGAACGCAGCGAAACGCGAUAGGUAAUGUGAAUUGCAGAAUUCCGUGAAUCAUCGAAUCUUUGAACGCACCUUGCGCUCCAUGGUAUUCCGUGGAGCAUGCCUGUUUGAGUGCCGCGAAUUCUCCCUCCCCUUACGGUGGCCGAAAGGCCGAAGUAGGGCGGACGGGGUAGGAUGGGUGUUGCUGCCUGGGGAUUGUACCAGGCUCGCCCGAAAUGCAUAAGCGCCAGGACCCUCGCUACCGCUCUCUAGGGAAGAGUGGCUAAGCGACCGCUGAGCAUGGCAUGAUACGUCAUUUGCUGUGUGUGGGCGGCCGGUUGGAGAGGUGUCUGCUUUACCAGCCCUUUUUUAAUUCUGGUCUCAAAUCAGGUAGGAUCACCCGCUGAACCUAAGCAUAUCAAU
rnacentral:misc_RNA from 1 species